UACGUAGGCAGCAAGCGUUGUUCGGAAUUACUGGGCGUAAAGCGUGCGCAGGCGGCUAUGCAAGACAGAUGUGAAAUCCCCGGGCUCAACCUGGGAACUGCAUUUGUGACUGCAUAGCUAGAGUACGGUAGAGGGGGAUGGAAUUCCGCGUGUAGCAGUGAAAUGCGUAGAUAUGCGGAGGAACACCGAUGGCGAAGGCAAUCCCCUGGACCUGUACUGACGCUCAUGCACGAAAGCGUGGGGAGCAAACGAGG
rnacentral:rRNA from 1 species